UCUACUCCUCCCUGUUUUAUUGCCUCGGCUCCCUUAAUGCUAUUAUGCAGCCUCAGUGAUAAGCCGGUGAAGAUGUAGCAAUUGCAGUCAUCGAAAAGGAACCAAGCUGAAAAGAAGAGGACACCUGGCCCUGCAUUGUCACCAGGCAUCAUGACAGAGGGGAGUAUUGAGGAAGGAUUUGAAGGAGGCCAAUGCAUUGAUUCUGGGAGGUUUCUCGGGAGCUCCUCCCAAGUGUGAAGGGCAGCAUGAGAGAAAACACACUGGCGUUUGGUUGUAAAUGUAACAAGAUGGUGAUGGAUAGUGGAAUCCUGGAAUGAUCAGAGAGGAUGCCACGAGAAGGCACCCACCUGUUUGCAACCUGGGAUGCAGAUCCUGGACUAGGCUUAGCCAGCUGCUCACUGGAACGGCCGGAGUGGCUGCCACAAUGCUGAAAUGUGGAGUAGCCCAAUCUUCAUAGCGUGACUAUGGGCAGCAAUGCAGAUGGUCAAGCACGUGGUGGAAGGACGCAUCAUUAGAAGAUUGGAGGGUGAACUGCAGCACAUUGCUACCCUCAAUGAUGCAGCGGUGAGAUGGCUGGACAAUCUAGACACUGACUGAUGACAAAUACAAAAGAUGUGAUUCAGGGCCGGCUUUAGGCCUAUUCCACCAAUUCCCCAGAAUCGGGCCCUGCGAUUAAGAGGGCCCC